ensembl:lncRNA
GUGUAAUUCAAAAGGGUGCAUCCGAUGGAAACUUUACUAUUCCAUGAGGCCACAGAAAAGGAGCUGUGAAUGGCAAUUUUCACUGCUGUUAUUCUCAUGUUGAGCAGUAGGGGAGUGUUUUUCCUGGUGUCCAGCCACAUUUCUCCCACUAAUUUUCCCAGCAUAGUUGUAUUUCCCACCACAUGGCCUGCAUGGACAUCCAGCUCUGUCUAUAGAAUUGCCCAGAGGACCAGGACUAUAUUUAGACCAGUUAAGUUUCUCCAUUCAGAACCCUUUGUUUUGCACAAAUAUAGCUCUAAAUAAUUAAAUAAAUUACAAUACCAUUCAAAAGUUUGGGGUUAU